AUCAUAGUAAAACGGAGUGUCAGGUCGGAUUCCAGCUAGCUAUAUCGUCAUUUCUUACGUUAAAUUGCAGUUGUUGAUUGAAUUAUAUUCCCAUUUCGAACAUCUACCUCAAUACAUAGCUUAAAAGCUAGGAUCCAGGACCUAUGUCCAAAACGAUGGAAAAAACACCUUAGAUCCAGAUUUCUCCGUGACACAGCGCUCAUUGCUAUCGAUCAUUUUUCGUGAUUCAUAAAUUAUCAUCUCUAUGUAUCCCACCCGUCACACUUCAUCCAUCGCCAAUGACUCCAACUUUCCCAUUCAAACCUGACCAUGGGCCUUUUGGCAUAUUCUCCGAUCGACAAUGUCGUCCUCCUCUACCCCGAGAAAAUCGGCUUUCCGAGGCCCAGAUAUCUCCAUCAUCCUCUUUCUUUUCCUCCUUACCAGCCGUUGCCUCCUCGUAGUCCUGGUUCAUGAUCUCAUACAUUUCCUUCAACAUAUCCUCUGCCUUUCGUGCCAAUUCUGUCCCGAAAUUCACCCUAUCUUCUACAUAUCCAUUCGUAGCAUCCCGUGCUUCCCUGGCAGCAAAUGACCAGGCCUCUGCACGGGUGACGAUCUCCGAAGUGUCACUUGGGCUUGUUGGGCUGGCGAGAGAAGUUGAGCGACUGUUUAUCGCGGCAACUGCAUGUCUAAAUCGCGGUUGUCUCGCAAGAAUGGGGUACUCCGGAAGCAGAUGGCUUUCUUCCUGCAGACGAUCGAACAUCCGACACGUAGUCCACUUCUCUUUAGCAAGAAGGGCAGAUAAAUAGGCCUUUUGCGUAGAAGGUGCUUUCUGGGCUUUUGACAAGGGCAGCAAAUGCUCCGAUACAUAUGGGAACAGUAAAGCAAGGUCCGGAGUGGAUCCACUCUGUUGUUUCCCCUGAGGCUGACAUCGGCGUUGUGGUGUUUGGAGCCCAGCCGGGAAAUGUUGAGACGCUGUAGAUACAGCUGAUAUUAAGGAUUUUCGAGCGUUAACGUAGGAAGCGUAUUGC
rnacentral:sRNA from 1 species